AUUGAACGCUGGCGGCAGGCCUAACACAUGCAAGUCGAACGAGUGGCGGACGGGUGAGUAAUGUCUGGGAAACUGCCUGAUGGAGGGGGAUAACUACUGGAAACGGUAGCUAAUACCGCAUACCAUCGGAUGUGCCCAGAUGGGAUUAGCUAGUAGGUGGGGUAAAGGCUCACCUAGGCGACGAUCCCUAGCUGGUCUGAGAGGAGGACCAGCCACACGGGAAAGGAGACACGGUCCAGACUCCUACGGGAGGCAGCAGUGGGGAAUAUUGCACAAUGUGCGCAAGCCUGAUGCAGCCAUGCCGCUUGUAUGAAGAAGGCCGUCGGGUUUUAAAGUACUUUCAGCGGGGAGGCUUUACCCGCAGAAGAAGCACCGGCUAAAUCCGUGCCAGCAGCCGCGGUAAUUC
rnacentral:rRNA from 1 species